rnacentral:rRNA from 1 species
AGCGAACGCUGGCGGCAGGCCUAACACAUGCAAGUCGAACGAAGCCUUCGGGCUUAGUGGCGGACGGGUGAGUAACACGUGGGAACGUACCCUUCAGUUCGGAACAACCCAGGGAAACUUGGGCUAAUACCGGAUACGUCCGUAAGGAGAAAGAUUUAUCGCUGAAGGAUCGGCCCGCGUCUGAUUAGCUAGUUGGUGAGGUAAUGGCUCACCAAGGCUACGAUCAGUAGCUGGUCUGAGAGGAUGAUCAGCCACAUUGGGACUGAGACACGGCCCAAACUCCUACGGGAGGCAGCAGUGGGGAAUAUUGGACAAUGGGGGCAACCCUGAUCCAGCCAUGCCGCGUGAGUGAUGAAGGCCCUAGGGUUGUAAAGCUCUUUUAGCAGGGAAGAUAAUGACGGUGCCUGCAGAAAAAGCCCCGGCUAACUUCGUGCCAGCAGCCGCCGUAACAC